CCUACGGGAGGCAGCAGUGAGGAAUAUUGGUCAAUGGGCGAGAGCCUGAACCAGCCAUCCCGCGUGCAGGAAGAAUGCCCUAUGGGUUGUAAACUGCUUUUUCGCAUGAAGAACACCCCUGACGCGUUCGGGGGCUGACGGUAAUGCGUGAAUAAGCACCGGCUAACUCCGUGCCAGCAGCCGCGGUAAUACGGAGGGUGCAAGCGUUAUCCGGAUUUAUUGGGUUUAAAGGGUGCGUAGGCGGCGCUUUAAGUCAGUGGUGAAAUCCUGCAGCUCAACUGUAGAACAGCCAUUGAAACUGAAGUGCUUGAGUAAUCUUGAGGUAGGCGGAAUGUGUAGUGUAGCGGUGAAAUGCUUAGAUAUUACACAGAACACCGAUUGCGAAGGCAGCUUACUAAGGAUUCACUGACGCUGAUGCACGAAAGCGUGGGGAUCAAACAGGAUUAGAUACCCUGGUAGUCCACGCCGUAAACGAUGAUAACUCGCUGUUGGCGAUACACAGUCAGCGGCUUAGCGAAAGCGUUAAGUUAUCCACCUGGGGAGUACGCUCGCAAGAGUGAAACUCAAAGGAAUUGACGG
rnacentral:rRNA from 1 species